rnacentral:rRNA from 1 species
CAAUUUUUUUGAGAGUUUGAUCCUGGCUCAGGAUGAACGCUGGCGGCGUGCCUUAAGCAUGCAAGUCGAAU